UCAGUGAGGGACUCAGGCAGGCCCCUCCCAGCCCUGCUGCCCUGUCCUGCACAGCCCCUGGAGCUCCCUCCCACCUCCAAGGCCAGCAGCCUCCACAGCUCCUGGCACCCUGACACUACUGAAAUCCAGGACAGGCUGUCGUAGUGUCCAGCCUUUUUUUCACCACUCUUUCCCAUUCUGGUCUCUUCUCCAUCUAAUAAAUGGUGAUGCAAAUCAAAAGCCAGAAAGAAGGCCAGGGGCUGCCCCUGACAAACACAACCUGGAAGAGGCUUGAACAGAGGGGGAGCUGAUCCUGCAGCAAGGCAGCAAGGCAGAUGUGGGGGAGCAUAAGCAGAGAAUGAGAGGGGAGGGCAAAAGUGGGGAGAGGAGACAUAUCUUACUUCUGGAGCACGUCUACACUUGCUCUAAUUUGGAAUUAAAAGAACUUAAAGCCGUCAAGGCCAGUGGUCCAUCCUUAGCGGAAAUGCUGGUACCUCUGGGACUGACACAUAACCACAGACAGAGACAAACAGAAAACAGCUAACAGUGAUCCUGCCUGCUGACUCUUAUGUACACUGCAAUAGGGACCAUCCUGAUUUCCAACUGCCAGCACUGUAGUUCUGAGGGCAUUUGGAAAUCAUUGAAGUUUGGUACUCAGAUUUAAUGUUUCAAGUAUGCUAAAUACUUAGAAAUUAUUCCUGUGAUCAGUUCUGAGAAACCAGAGAUUCUGAGUAUUUAUCUGUGCACUUAACAGAAAGAAAUAAAAAGCCAAACAGAACAAACUGGGUAUAUAGGUGGUUUUAGUACCGAAAACAAAUGCAAAGCUUUUAAGUGAACACAAAGCAUAAUUUUCCAGGUUUCACAGCUCAAGUUUAAAUCCUCAAAAUUUACCAUACUGAAAUAAGACUGAAAAUGGGUUUUAAACUAAGCUUUAAAACUGGAGAGUUAGAGAGGUCUUAAUCAAAGUAUCUGCCAAGGUAAUUUUCUGUGUUUUGCUAUAUAUUAUGUAAUGGUUUUAUAGCAAUUUCUACUAGACAUAAAAUUAGAAUUUAUCAGUUUCAGAUGCCCUAAGAGCUGCCAAGUGUUCAUAUCUUCUUCCCUCUUCAAAACUGAAUUCUCUUUCUGCAAGGAGAAAGCCUGUCUUGUCAGUGGAUUCCAGUUUCAGAAUGGGGCUCCAGAGAUCUGCAGAGGGGCUUGAACUCCUCUACAGAAAUCCAGUGGCUGCACGUGAGAGAGAUGACACAGAAAAGCUGCAAAGUUUCCAAUCUGACCACAGACUCUGUGUGGCCACCAGUCAGAAGAUUCUUCAUAAAACCUUCAUGCCUGAAGGCAGCACUGCUGUAUUUCUGCCCCUGGUGUUAACAGUUCCAGGUGUGGUUAGAGCACCAGAUAUGCUGUGGACUGUGUCUGAGAGAAGCUGUGGGCAAGUCAGCACCUGCACUGCUAGACUGGAACUAACCUAGGAAAUCUCCCAGGGAAAGAAUAUGGAGUGUGUCCUGCUAGUCAUCAGGUGAGUCAGCACUAUGACUGCCUUUUAAUUAUUUUCCUUUCUUUCUUGAAAAGAAAAAAAGAAUUAUUUUAUAAGACACAAAUUCAGUGAUAUUUACGUAGAGGUUUUCUCCUCACAACCCAUCAGGACA